rnacentral:snoRNA from 1 species
GUGGAUAUGAUGAUCCUUUCCCCAGAUGAUCGACAGUGAACAUACCGAGAGCUGUAAUUUCUUUUGGAGAAACCAAGCCAGGACUCUGAUCCUC